rnacentral:rRNA from 1 species
ACUAAGCGUACACGGUGGAUGCCCUGGCAGUCAGAGGCGAUGAAGGACGUGCUAAUCUGCGAUAAGCGUCGGUAAGGUGAUAUGAACCGUUAUAACCGGCGAUUUCCGAAUGGGGAAACCCAGUGUGUUUCGACACACUAUCAUUAACUGAAUCCAUAGGUUAAUGAGGCGAACCGGGGGAACUGAAACAUCUAAGUACCCCGAGGAAAAGAAAUCAACCGAGAUUCCCCCAGUAGCGGCGAGCGAACGGGGAGGAGCCCAGAGCCUGAAUCAGUGUGUGUGUUAGUGGAAGCGUCUGGAAAGGCGCGCGAUACAGGGUGACAGCCCCGUACACAAAAAUGCACAUACUGUGAGCUCGAUGAGUAGGGCGGGACACGUGGUAUCCUGUCUGAAUAUGGGGGGACCAUCCUCCAAGGCUAAAUACUCCUGACUGACCGAUAGUGAACCAGUACCGUGAGGGAAAGGCGAAAAGAACCCCGGCGAGGGGAGUGAAAAAGAACCUGAAACCGUGUACGUACAAGCAGUGGGAGCCUCUUUUAUGGGGUGACUGCGUACCUUUUGUAUAAUGGGUCAGCGACUUAUAUUCUGUAGCAAGGUUAACCGAAUAGGGGAGCCGAAGGGAAACCGAGUCUUAACUGGGCGUUAAGUUGCAGGGUAUAGACCCGAAACCCGGUGAUCUAGCCAUGGGCAGGUUGAAGGUUGGGUAACACUAACUGGAGGACCGAACCGACUAAUGUUGAAAAAUUAGCGGAUGACUUGUGGCUGGGGGUGAAAGGCCAAUCAAACCGGGAGAUAGCUGGUUCUCCCCGAAAGCUAUUUAGGUAGCGCCUCGUGAAUUCAUCUCCGGGGGUAGAGCACUGUUUCGGCAAGGGGGUCAUCCCGACUUACCAACCCGAUGCAAACUGCGAAUACCGGAGAAUGUUAUCACGGGAGACACACGGCGGGUGCUAACGUCCGUCGUGAAGAGGGAAACAACCCAGACCGCCAGCUAAGGUCCCAAAGUCAUGGUUAAGUGGGAAACGAUGUGGGAAGGCCCAGACAGCCAGGAUGUUGGCUUAGAAGCAGCCAUCAUUUAAAGAAAGCGUAAUAGCUCACUGGUCGAGUCGGCCUGCGCGGAAGAUGUAACGGGGCUAAACCAUGCACCGAAGCUGCGGCAGCGACACUAUGUGUUGUUGGGUAGGGGAGCGUUCUGUAAGCCUGUGAAGGUGUGCUGUGAGGCAUGCUGGAGGUAUCAGAAGUGCGAAUGCUGACAUAAGUAACGAUAAAGCGGGUGAAAAGCCCGCUCGCCGGAAGACCAAGGGUUCCUGUCCAACGUUAAUCGGGGCAGGGUGAGUCGACCCCUAAGGCGAGGCCGAAAGGCGUAGUCGAUGGGAAACAGGUUAAUAUUCCUGUACUUGGUGUUACUGCGAAGGGGGGACGGAGAAGGCUAUGUUGGCCGGGCGACGGUUGUCCCGGUUUAAGCGUGUAGGCUGGUUUUCCAGGCAAAUCCGGAAAAUCAAGGCUGAGGCGUGAUGACGAGGCACUACGGUGCUGAAGCAACAAAUGCCCUGCUUCCAGGAAAAGCCUCUAAGCAUCAGGUAACAUCAAAUCGUACCCCAAACCGACACAGGUGGUCAGGUAGAGAAUACCAAGGCGCUUGAGAGAACUCGGGUGAAGGAACUAGGCAAAAUGGUGCCGUAACUUCGGGAGAAGGCACGCUGAUAUGUAGGUGAAGCGACUUGCUCGUGGAGCUGAAAUCAGUCGAAGAUACCAGCUGGCUGCAACUGUUUAUUAAAAACACAGCACUGUGCAAACACGAAAGUGGACGUAUACGGUGUGACGCCUGCCCGGUGCCGGAAGGUUAAUUGAUGGGGUUAGCGGUAACGCGAAGCUCUUGAUCGAAGCCCCGGUAAACGGCGGCCGUAACUAUAACGGUCCUAAGGUAGCGAAAUUCCUUGUCGGGUAAGUUCCGACCUGCACGAAUGGCGUAAUGAUGGCCAGGCUGUCUCCACCCGAGACUCAGUGAAAUUGAACUCGCUGUGAAGAUGCAGUGUACCCGCGGCAAGACGGAAAGACCCCGUGAACCUUUACUAUAGCUUGACACUGAACAUUGAGCCUUGAUGUGUAGGAUAGGUGGGAGGCUUUGAAGUGUGGACGCCAGUCUGCAUGGAGCCGGCCUUGAAAUACCACCCUUUAAUGUUUGAUGUUCUAACGUUGGCCCCUGAUCGGGGUUGCGGACAGUGUCUGGUGGGUAGUUUGACUGGGGCGGUCUCCUCCUAAAGAGUAACGGAGGAGCACGAAGGUUGGCUAAUCCUGGUCGGACAUCAGGAGGUUAGUGCAAUGGCAUAAGCCAGCUUGACUGCGAGCGUGACGGCGCGAGCAGGUGCGAAAGCAGGUCAUAGUGAUCCGGUGGUUCUGAAUGGAAGGGCCAUCGCUCAACGGAUAAAAGGUACUCCGGGGAUAACAGGCUGAUACCGCCCAAGAGUUCAUAUCGACGGCGGUGUUUGGCACCUCGAUGUCGGCUCAUCACAUCCUGGGGCUGAAGUAGGUCCCAAGGGUAUGGCUGUUCGCCAUUUAAAGUGGUACGCGAGCUGGGUUUAGAACGUCGUGAGACAGUUCGGUCCCUAUCUGCCGUGGGCGCUGGAGAACUGAGGGGGGCUGCUCCUAGUACGAGAGGACCGGAGUGGACGCAUCACUGGUGUUCGGGUUGUCAUGCCAAUGGCACUGCCCGGUAGCUAAAUGCGGAAGAGAUAAGUGCUGAAAGCAUCUAAGCACGAAACUUGCCCCGAGAUGAGUUCUCCCUGAGACUUUAAGUCUCCUGAAGGAACGUUGAAGACGACGACGUUGAUAGGCCGGGUGUGUAAGCGCAGCGAUGCGUUGAGCUAACCGGUACUAAUGAACCGUGAGGCUUAACC